AGUGAACGCUGGCGGUAGGCCUAACGCAUGCAAGUCGAACGGCAGCACAGUAAGAGCUUGCUCUUACGGGUGGCGAGUGGCGGACGGGUGAGGAAUACAUCGGAAUCUACUUUUCGUGGGGGAUAACGUAGGGAAACUUACGCUAAUACCGCAUACGACCUACGGGUGAAAGCAGGGGAUCUUCGGACCUUGCGCGAUUGAAUGAGCCGAUGUCGGAUUAGCUAGUUGGCGGGGUAAAGGCCCACCAAGGCGACGAUCCGUAGCUGGUCUGAGAGGAUGAUCAGCCACACUGGAACUGAGACACGGUCCAGACUCCUACGGGAGGCAGCAGUGGGGAAUAUUGGACAAUGGGCGCAAGCCUGAUCCAGCCAUACCGCGUGGGUGAAGAAGGCCUUCGGGUUGUAAAGCCCUUUUGUUGGGAAAGAAAAGCAGCAGGUUAAUACCCCGCUGUUCUGACGGUACCCAAAGAAUAAGCACCGGCUAACUUCGUG
rnacentral:rRNA from 1 species